UGUUGUUUCCUGCUUUGUCUUUGUUUCUUCCAAGCCCCUUUUCCUGCUUGUUUUGGUUACUGAAUUUCCCAUAGGAGCCUUCCCUGUCCAUUUAUAUUUUAAGAGUGAAUACUAAAAUGCUGAUUGGGCAUCUGUGUGACAAGGAAGGGGGCUUAACUUCCUUGUAGGGUUCCAGAAGAGAGCCUGCUUUUUUCCUGCUGGUGACACCUAAAUGUCAGUGCCUAUAGAUCUUUUCCGUGGGGAUGUUGGGUUUUCCUGGAGAAGAAUGUUGCCUGGGGGUUUAAUAGCCUGGUUGUCCUGCAUUCUGGGAGCCUUGAUGGCAAAGGAGGCUGGGUACCCUGUUUGGUAUGCAGACUUUCACUCCCUCUGUCCUUUUCUGAAGGUUGCCCCCUUCUCUGCCUUCCUCUCUCAGCUAUUCCCCUCCCUCAGCUGUGUCUGAAUCAGAGUCUCUCUUGUAGUUUGCCUAAACAGUGAAUCUCUACCUUUUUCCUGAGGGAGGGAAAUCAGACUGAGCAGAUUGCAGGCAGGGAGACCCUGGGCUGGAAUCGCUCCUUGAACAACUUUUAGCAGAGUCUCUUUUUAGCCCCUGUCCCCUCCCCUCUCAGUCCUUGGUGCCUCCAAUUCCUGAGGCUUCUCCUGUUUCUGUGGCAUUAGUCCCCUCUUGUUUAGUGGUUUCUUCCCCUGCUUGCACUUAGCAGAGCAGAAACCUGAAUCAGCUACUGCAUGGUGGUCAGCUCUCUGUCUUCCAGAGUUUUGUUGAUGUAUCUUGUCUGCUGUUGUUUCCUUUCCAUUAAAAAUCAAAUUUUUCUGGUGGGGUUCUGGGAGAGAGCAGGGAUAAAUAUGGGUGUUUUAAUCCUCUGAUUUGACCAGAAGUUUCAUCUCUUUAUCCAAGCCCUUAAACUGGUACCUGAUAUAUCGUAUAUUCCCAAGAAAUGUUUGUUAACUGAUUGAACACGCGUUUCUAAGAUGGUAUGGCUACUGUUAGUCGUAAGAUUUCAAGAGAGUCCCAAACAUACAAUCUUACAAAGAUAAAUCCGUUGUUUAUUCUGAGGUAGAUGUAGUAACUGGCAACAGAUCCUGCCAUUCUCCCUGUGCCGUGUAGGGUAGGGAGCGCCAUGAGACAGCGUUGUAGGCUUUUGGGCUAGAGAUCGACGAGACUCAGAUGCUGUCUCUAGGCUUAUCACUAAUGACCUGAGUCACCUUUAGAAGUCACUUAACCUGUCUGGGUCUUGGUUUCCCCAGCCUUAAAAUGGGCUAUCGGUCAAGAUUUGAUUCCAUUCACUGCGCUGAAUACCUGCUGUGUCAACGCAUGGUGCUAAGAUCCUUCCAGGUUGGACACAGAGAAUGUGUGUCUGUGCCCUGGUCCCGGAUGGUGUACAUCACCAGAUUCAUGGAGGACUCAGAAUUGGUUGUUAGGAAACUGUCUUCAAACCAACUAAUAGCUUUACACAGGAAAUAGGAAGCUGGGAUGGUGGUUCUCAGAGAAUAAGAGGGCUGCAGCGUUUCCAAACGUUUUAGUGAGACAAGCACAGCCAGAGGAAGAAGAGAGACUGGAUGGACUUCAGGCUCUCUCAGCAGCCAGGAAGCUUCCUGAGGCCCCCCCCAACACUCUCCCGAGAUGCCUCCUUGGCUGGAGCUUGGCUGCACGUCCAUCCCUGAAUCAAUCACUGUUGACUGGAAGGCGGCCACACUUCUGGAGGGAUCUGGAGGAGAGGCACGUAUCCAAACAAAAUGGAGGCUCUGUUAGGAAGGAAGGAGCAGGGACUAGGGGUUGGGAAGGCAACUGCCAGGGCCCAGGGUGCAGGUGGCCCGAGCAGUAUGCCUCAUGUCAUCCUGAGCAGUCGGGCUGUUGGCAAGGUUAUCUCUGUCCUGCAGAUGAGGAAAUGAGACUCCCUGAGCUUCAGUGACUUGUAGAUAACAGGCCCGUGGAUGGUGUGUAGGGGGCGGGAGUGGGGGAACUGGGGUGUUUGUGAGGCCUUUUUAGCCCUAGGAGAGUAAUCAUACUUUUGUUUUUAACCUGAGGUGUCAGAGCAGACGCCUUCGUUUCUGAUUUCUCCUUUAUGACUCCAGUUAUUCGUGGCGGAAGGCCUUCCUCUGUUUUUCCUAUGGGCAGAAUUCUCAAGGCGUGAGAAAAAAUACGCAACUUUGGUUGUACCUGAAAGCAGCUGAGAUGAUGAUAUCAGCUCCGAUUUGGGGGGAAAGGGGCUGGCCACAUCAGCCCCUGUGCUAGGUAUAGUGCAUGCAUUAUCUUAAAUCCUGGCAACAACCUACUAAGUUAGGUUUUAUUCUCCGUAUUUUAAAGAUGGGGAAACUGAGUCUCAGGAAGGUGAAGCUGAGGGUGGUGGGUGGCACAGCUCGUGGGUGGUGGAGCCAAGCCUGACGGCUCAAAUUCGGUGCCGCUUCCCUACUCCACACUGGGGCUUAUCAGCGGCUGCCAGCCUUGUUUAUGCCCCUGAAGGAAGGUUCUCAGGGAACGGGCUUUUAGUGUCAAGAGUUCCAAAGGAGCUGAAUGUUUCCUAUGGGAAUAAUUCUCAGGGCACCAGGAAAAAUAUCCUGAGCAUAAUAAACACAAGAAAGAAACAGGAAAUCUGGUUUGUUAUAUAGCAGCUAAAAUACAACUAGGAAAACCCUUUAAAAAACCUAAAAGGUUUGCUGGAUUUGAAAAGGAAAGGUCCCGAUGGAAAGGGGAGGGAAACCCCUGUGAGUUCGGGAGAUAAAUGUGGACAGUGUGGCAGCAAUAAUGGGUGCUGGGUGGAGAGUGAACACCUUGCUUUUUCCCCGGUUCUGCUUAUGACUCUGAUCUCUGGCAAGUCACUUAGCUUUUCAGAGCAGUGUCCGCACGUGUAACGGGUGGUCCUGGCUGGCAGCUCGGUGGGCAGAGGUCGCAGAGGCGUAAAGGGUGGAGCAAGCCUUGCCAACUGUGCAGCGCUUUGCAAAGGUGAGGGAGUGUCCGGUCUGAACCACAGAGUUGACCCCCCGGAGUUUUAAACCGAGUGCCCCUCUACCUGGUGGCGAGCUGUUCGUUGCCUAUCGGGGGCAUGUCAGAACUGGUGGAGGACAGCCCCUUCGCCUCCACUGGAUGUCUGGCUUCGGCCUCAUCACAAGGAGAAAUCAGCUUUGCCUGCAAACGUCCAGCUCUGGACGUUUGGAGUCCCUCCCUUGGCACAUUGCCUGACCUAUGCCUCGGGGACUAUUGCCUACAGAUGCCCAGGGGGAGGUAACAGUAGUACAAAGUGGGCAGAGAUAAGUGCCCCAUGCACAGCAUGGAAGGUACAGACCAUGGCUGCCGUGGGAGGAUCCUGGGGCUCAGGAAGCUCUGGGUAAUCUGGCCAUGUAUGUUGAAGAUGGAUCACAGGUGUGUGUGUGUGUGUGUGUGUGUGUGUGUGUGUGUGUGAGAGAGAGAGAGAGAGAGAGAGAGACAGACAGACAGACAGGUGAGCCCCUUUGUGAGUGCCGCCAACAUACCUCUCUGAUGAUGGUGGCGCUGGAGACACAGUGACCUGACUUUUCAAAUAUGAACAGAGGGAAUAAUAGGGAAUUUCCCCCUCCCAGUGAAGUGUAUCUGCAACUUUGUAGGGGUUUGAGUCUGCACUAAGAUAUUUAAGAUUAGUUUCUUGCUCCUAGCUUUCCUACCGUACCCAUUUAUAUUGAGCAACCUCUGCAUAGCAAGCUGAGCUCAGUGCUGUGGUCUCAAAGACCAAAAUCAUUGUCCUUGGGUAGGAGUCUCCUAGGUAAACAGGAUCAUUACAAAACUGUGUGAUAAGUGUUAACAGGUAUGUGCAGGGUCCUCGGGGAGAAGUAGGAGGGAACACCUGGUUGGGUCAGGUGGGGGGAGGGACACUUGUUUCUCAGAGGAGGUGACACCUGAGCUGGGGCUAGAAGGCUGGGAGGAAGUGUGCCAGGUGGACCAGCCUCUUGGAAGGGAUUCUAGACAGAGGGCGGUAAUAGCUUUCAUCUGACAAUAAAAACUGUUCCUGAAAGCCUGCUGUGUGGCAGUGGUGAGGCAGAGAUGGAUGGGACUGUGUCCCAGCCCUGCAGGUGCUCACAGUCAGAGGUGAAUAGGAGAUGACAGUGAAGGUGACAGUGUGAUUGGAAUAUGGACAGUCUGUGGAAACACAGGGCCCUGCUGAAGUCAGUUGUGAUAAUUUGCUUAUCAGUCUUCCUCUGAGGGGGCCCCUUUGCGGGUCUUUCGUUGGUGAGAGGCUCUGUUGAAGAAGCUGGCUUGCUGUCUGCUGCCCUUGGGGUGGGCUGUGCCCUUCAACAGUUUGGAUUGUUCUGUGAGACACCUAUUCGUACUUACAGAUUUCUUCCUUGUGGAGGCUGCGCUGGGCUUAGCAAGUUGGGCUUGGGCAAAACACUUCACUAGUCUGGGCCUUUUUUUUCCUUCCCACUUACGGAAGAAAGGCUGUUUGGAUCAGGUCAUUGUUUCUCAAAUAGCAGUCUAGGGAGCAGCUCCUUUCGAAUGGCAGGCGUGCUUGUGGACAUGCAGAGUCCUCGUGGGGUGGCAUCUUGUCCUCAUUUGUAGGGCCAGACACUGGGGAGUGGGGUGUGGGAUUUUGCCUUUAACAGGCAGUCCGGGUGAUUCCUACACAUCUUAGAGUUUGGAGACACCUGGGCCACAGGAUGGCAACUUCUAAUCCUGUCAGCCCUAAUCUCCUCAGCCACAUCUACGUCCACAGGAAGUGGGAAGAUAAAGAGUUAGCUUUCUUAAUGUUUUAUCCCUGCAGGACACCUUCAGCAAACUGCU